rnacentral:rRNA from 1 species
GGUGAGUACGCGUGGAUAAUCUACCUGAUGCGGCAGGAUAACACUUCGAAAGGGGUGCUAAUACCUGAUAAGACCACGGAGUCUCUGGGCUCUGCGGUAAAAGGUGGGGACCUUCGGGCCUACCGUCAUCAGAUGAGUCCGCGUACCAUUAGCUAGUUGGUAGGGUAAAGGCCUACCAAGGCGACGAUGGUUAGCUGGUCUGAGAGGAUGAUCAGCCCACUUUAACUGAGACACGGUCCAGACUCCUACGGGAGGCAGCAGUGGGGAAUUUUGCGCAAUGGGGGAAACCCUGACGCAGCAACGCCGCGUGA